rnacentral:rRNA from 1 species
CCUACGGGAGGCAGCAGUGAGGAAUAUUGGUCAAUGGUCGAGAGGCUGAACCAGCCAAGUCGCGUGAAGGAAGACGGCCCUAUGGGUUGUAAACCUCUUUUGUCGGGGAGCAAAAUGCGCCACGUGUGACGUUUUGAGAGUACCCGAAGAAAAAGCAUCGGCUAACUCCGUGCCAGCAGCCGCGGUAAUACGGAGGAUCCGGGCGUUAUCCGGAUUUAUUGGGUUUAAAGGGUCCGCAGGCGGAUGGUCAAGCCAGCGGUAAAAUUGCGGGGCUCAACCCCGUAGUGCCGUUGAAACUGGUUUCCUUGAGUGCGCGGGAGGUAUGCGGAAUGCGUGGUGUAGCGGUGAAAUGCAUAGAUAUCACGCAGAACUCCGAUUGCGAAGGCAGCAUACGGGCGCGCAACUGACGCUGAUGCACGAAAGCGUGGGUAUCGAACAGGAUUAGAUACCCCGGUAGUC